GGACACACUGUUAAGGGCUGGAAACUCAGGGUUUUGUAGGUGUGGGAUCUAGAAUCCCCAUCCAAUUCUUAUUCCUGCCCAGAGGCAAAAACAGAAGACAAGGCGGGUAGAGACAGCAAGUAACCCUAGGUUCUGCUCAGGAGCAAAGCUUCGGGCUAACCCAGCACCACUCUGGCUCUGGCCUCCACCAUACACCUACCUUCACUAUCCCACUGUUCUGCCUUCAAACGAUUCUCAUGUCAGGCAAAGGCUUAUACAGAAAUAGAAUCUUCUAUAGUUACAGUCCAGCAGCUUUCCCUUUGGGUGCACCUGAGACACCAGUGGAUGGGUUUUAGAGGCUGCAGAGUGAACACACAAACCAGUGCACUUCCUGACCAGCCACAGGCCUCCUUCAUACCUCGGGUCCAGCAGCUGAGAGAGGGGAGGGCAGGAGGCCAGGCCAGCUCCUGAGCACCAGCCUCAUUCCUACCCAGCACUCCUGACUGCUCACCAGCUUUUUGCAUGGGCAGGGGAGCAUCCUGCCUUCUCAAGCAAGACACUUACAGACAACUGUUAGGGAGCUCAUCCGGGAAGCUGAAAGGGAGAGAGGAGUCUGUGUGCAGGACAGCCCGCUCCUGAAUACUGCCACAGCCCGUUACCAUCUGCCAGCUGCCAUAGUCUGUGGAGAGAGAGGAUCUGGGCAGGGGAUGGUCCACUGAUCUGGGGCAGAGAGGAGAGAGAGGGGAGAGGAUGCAGUCAGUCAUAUGCCUGACACAGGAUCUGGAGGGGGCUGGGGGACUAGCGCAGCCCUGGCUGCUAGGUUCUGUUGUCAAUCACUGUCUCCAAAAGUCUAAAAAAAAAAGCUGGACAAGUAGUGACCGAGAAAAAAGAAUAGAUCACCAGGUAACACCGGCCAAGAACCGCACUUACAGCAGCUGUCGGAUGGAUUAGGCAGCACAGACAGCAGCAGGGUGUGUGAUCCCAGGGGACAGAAGCAUCUCUCAGCAAGCAGCCAUCUUCUGCAGACUCUGGGAUUUUUCAAGAGUGAGCACACUGGCUACAAAGGAGUCUUCCUACGUGAGGCCUUUGUCAAAGGAAGGGCUACAAAGUGACCAUUCAGCUCCUGGGGUUGAGAGCAAAGGGCCAUGCUAAGCAGGAAGGUGUUCACAAAUACCACCAUGGAUUAGCUGGCUGCAGGGGACACCUACAGUGCGUCAUGUCACCGGGAGUAAGGACCUGUGCCCACAUACUGAGAAGGGAGGAAAAGCCUUCCAGUCAGUCUAAGAACACAGGUAACUUAACCAGCUUCAACAAGAGCCCAAAGUCUUUUGCCCUGAGCAGGAAACAGAGGGAUCCAAGCUCCACCCCCUCUGCUCUCCCACUACAGGACUGGAGAGAACAUGGGACCAAGCAACCCUCAAACUGGAUGGUGGCGGAGCUGACAACGCUUCAGAGGUCACCUGUCCACAUCCCAGCGGCUCAGACCUCUGCCUAGGAGGGUGGGAGCUCAGCAACAUUUCACUUCCUUAGUUGGAUGUGGCUCAGGGCCCUCUUCACAGCACCCAGAGCUGCAGUUCCUACCGGCUCCCAACUCCCCAGAUGCCCUGCUGAUGGCCAACUCAGAGCAGGUGUCUUUUAGCUAGUCCUUUCUGGAAGGGGGUACGAGAAUACUCACACAAACCGAGCUGGCUCAACCCAGGCAAGAAUACACAGGUCGGGAUGGGGGCCUGGCCUUUUACGCAGCUGCCUAGUGCCAUGACAGAGCCUACAGGCUCUCGG
rnacentral:lncRNA from 1 species